rnacentral:rRNA from 1 species
GAUGAACGCUGGCGGCGUGCCUAAUACAUGCCAGUCGAGCGAACAGACGAGGAGCUUGCUCCUCUGACGUUGCGGCGGACGGGUGAGUAACACGUGGAUAACCUACCUAUAAGACUGGGAUAACUUCGGGAAACCGGAGCUAAUACCGGAUAAUAUAUUGAACCGCAUGGUUCAAUAGUGAAAGACGGUUUUGCUGUCACUUAUAGAUGGAUCCGCGCCGCAUUAGCUAGUUGGUAAGGUAACGGCUUACCAAGGCAACGAUGCGUAGCCGACCUGAGAGGGUGAUCGGCCACACUGGAACUGAGACACGGUCCAGACUCCUACGGGAGGCAGCAGUAGGGAAUCUUCCGCAAUGGGCGAAAGCCUGACGGAGCAACGCCGCGUGAGUGAUGAAGGUCUUCGGAUCGUAAAACUCUGUUAUUAGGGAAGAACAAAUGUGUAAGUAACUAUGCACGUCUUGACGGUACCUAAUCAGAAAGCCACGGCUAACUACGUG